UUCGCAAUGCCCGAAAGGGUGACGAUGCGACGCCGCGUGAGCGAUGAAGGCCUUCGGGUUGUAAAGCCCUGUCAGGAGUUAAGAAAUGUAGACUCGCUAAUAUCGGGUCUAUUUGACAAAGGCUCCAAAGGAAGCCACGGCUAACUCUGUGCCAGCAGCCGCGGUAAUACAGAGGUGGCAAGCGUUGUUCGGAAUUAUUGGGCGUAAAGAGCACGUAGGUGGAUUUGUAAGUCAGACGUGAAAGCCUUCUGUUCAACGGAAGAAUUGCAUCUGAAACUACAAACCUUGAGUGUAGGAGGGGAGAAUGGAACUUCUGGUGGAGCGGUGAAAUGCGUAGAUACCAGAAGGAACGCCGGCGGCGAAAGCGAUUCUCUGGCCUAUUACUGACACUCAGUGUGCGAAAGCUAGGGGAGCAAACGGGAUUAGAUACCCCGGUAGUCCUAGCCGUAAACGAUGGGCACUAAGUAGAGGGGUUUU
rnacentral:rRNA from 1 species